GCAACAAUGUCCGCUGCUCGAGGAAGUAAGCAAACGGCCAGCUCAAAAAGUGGGAAGGGAGAGAGAGAAAGAGUAAAAAAGAUAGAGAGAUUAGUGAAAAGGAGAAAAUAAAAGAAAGUGUAGUAGCUUCGUGCAUCAGAGGAGGUGGAAAAGGAAGAGGAGGGGACGAGAACAAAAAAGAGAAAAAGAAUGAAUAAGGAAAAAAGAGAGAGCUCAGUGGUAAAGGAAGAAAGAUGAGAGUGAAGAGAGAAAUGAGAGUGAAGAAAGAGAUGAAAGCGGAGAGAGAAGUGAGGAGAUAAAAGGGGAAAGGGGUUAAGUAGGAAGAGGCUAGCGUGGGUCGCCCCUCCCCCCUGUAUGGUGCUGAGGGACAAAUGGUGAAUGAGGAAAUAGAAUUAGUUGGCAGGUCAAGCAAG
rnacentral:lncRNA from 1 species